AGAGUUUGAUCCUGGCUCAGAACGAACGCUGGCGGCGUGGAUAAGACAUGCAAGUCGAACGGGACAGGUAGCAAUAUCUGUCUAGUGGCGAACGGGUGCGUAACACGUGGGCAACAUGCCUGAAAGCGCGGGAUAGCCCGGGGAAACUCGGAUUAAUACCGCAUGUGACAACGGGGUGGAUUCACUCUGUUUUCAAAGGUGGGGACCGCAAGGCCUGCCGCCUUCAGAUUGGCCCGCGGCCUAUCAGCUAGUUGGCGAGGUAAAAGCUCACCAAGGCGACGACGGGUAGCUGGUCUGAGAGGACGACCAGCCACACUGGAACUGAGACACGGUCCAGACACCUACGGGUGGCAGCAGUCGAGAAUCUUUCACAAUGGGGGAAGCCCUGAUGGAGCGACGCCGCGUGGAGGAUGAAGGUCUUCGGAUUGUAAACUCCUGUCAUGAAAGAACAAGCGAUGCGGGUAAACAGCCCGUAAAGUUGAUAGUAUUUCAAGAGGAAGGGACGGCUAACUCCGUGCCAGCAGCCGCGGUAA
rnacentral:rRNA from 1 species